rnacentral:lncRNA from 1 species
UCUUUUUUGGGGGUUCAUGUUCCUUGUCUCCUUCUCCCUGAACCUUCUAGAAAUGUUCCAAUCCCGCUGCUCCCUCUCUCCUCAGAUGUCCAGCCCCUCUUGUCCAUGCCACUGCUUUGGUCCCUGAUUCUACGUCUUCCAUUCAACAUUCACUCCUGGAUCUCUCCGUCUUGCCUGGCGAAGCCCUGCUCAGUCCUGGGAUAGAUGCAAAGCCAAGUACAGUUCAGGACCAGCUCACGAGCAGCUCACUCAACGUUUUUUCCCAACGUGAAGUGAUCCAGGAAUGCCUCCCUGUGAAGAUGUGUCCCAGAACAGCACUGGCAUCCGGGAACUGAGAACGAUGCUGUGAUCCAGAAGUCACGUCAGAUGGGAACGGUGGCCAGUUUUGGACAAGAUAGAGCCCCCUGUCUUCCAGGGACACCAGACAAGAGGCCAAGACUGUGCCUUUGUCCAGAAGCCAAAAGCAAACCAAGAAGGCAUGACCGGGUUCCAGAAGUACACGCCAUAGGACAGCCCUCCAAGACUUCUAGAGAGGACCUGAAGCUGAGGAAAGCCCUCCACUGAAGGGCUCAACCCACUUCUUCCUCCUCCUGGCAGACGGCCUGAAAG